rnacentral:pre_miRNA from 1 species
UAUGUUGUGUUGGUGUUCGAUCCAGGUGGAAUGAGGCGGUGUUCCUACUACGAUGUUGAUAUACGAGUAUCAAUUGAUUGCUAGCUAUAGACUUGAGGGCAAGUCUUUUUGAAGGAGGGAAGUAUGUUAUGGGAGUUUUACUAAGGGUAGUCAAGAGUUAGUUUAAUUUGUUACUAGCUUAAUAAGAUUUGCCUAUAUAUAGCUCAAUUAAAGAUAUGUAAUGGGCAUGAUAAGGAUUUGGAUGAAUAUGAGGAUGAAUUA